UACGGAGGGUGCGAGCGUUGUCCGGAAUCACUGGGCGUAAAGGGCGCGUAGGCGGCGCGGGCAGUCAACGGUGAAAGCUCGGGGCUCAACUCCGAGUCGGCCGUCGAUACUCCCGCGCUCGAGCACUGUAGAGGCAGGUGGAAUUCCUGGUGUAGCGGUGGAAUGCGCAGAUAUCGAGAGGAACACCUGCGGCGAAGGCGGGUUGCUGGGCUGACACUGACGCUGAGGCGCGAAAGCUAGGGGAGCGAACGGG
rnacentral:rRNA from 1 species